AGCGAACGUUAGCGGCGGGCCUAACACACGCAAGUCGAGCGAGAAAGGGACUUCGGUCCUGAGUAAAGCGGCGGACGGGUGAGUAACACGUAGGUAAUCUUCCUUUAAGUGGGGGACAACGUUCCGAAAGGGACGCUAAUACCGCAUAAGUUCCCAGAGACUCCGGGCUUUGGGAGGAAAGCUAGGUCGCAAUAUCUGGCGCUUGAUGAGGAGCCGGCGUCGCAUCAGCUAGUUGGUGGGGUAACGGCCUACCAAGGCGAAGACGCGUAGCUGGUCUGAGAGGAUGAUCAGCCACACUGGGACUGAGACACGGCCCAGACUCCUACGGGAGGCAGCAGUGGGGAAUAUUGGACAAUGGGCGCAAGCCUGAUCCAGCCACGCCGCGUGAGUGAUGAAGGCCUUCGGGUCGUAAAGCUCUGUGGGGAGGGACGAACCGCUGCACGUUAAUAGCGUGCAGCAUGACGGUACCUCCUUAGCAAGCACCGGCUAACUUCGUGCCAGCAGCCGCAGUAAGAC
rnacentral:rRNA from 1 species